GCCUGGGUGGCUCAGUCGGUUAAGCGUCUGACUUCGGCUCAGGUCAUGAUCUCGCUUGGUUGUGGGUUUGAGCCCUGCGUCAGGCU
rnacentral:tRNA from 1 species